rnacentral:rRNA from 1 species
GUGGAUCCCUGGCUUGUGGGUCGAUGAAGACCGCAGCUAGCUGCGCGUCGGCAUGUGAACUGCAGGACACAUGAACAUCGACAUUUUGAACGCAAAUGGCGGCCCUUGACUUGUCUUGGGCCACUCCUGGCUGAGGGUCGG